GAAAGAAAAAAUAGAAAUUACAAUAAUAAAAUCCUAAUUCUAAUAAAAUACUAAUAAUACUCUAAUUAGAUCAUAAUAAUGCUAAGCAAGCUUAAUCAAAUUUAAAAAAAAUCUCAAAGAAAUUUCAAACAAAUAAUAAGAAUUCUUAAAGAAAUAUUAGAAGGAUUACAAAUAUCACUAAAAUACAUCUCAAUUCAAUCUUAAUUUAAUACUAGUUAAAAUCCUAUUGAAAUUCAUUCAAACUUUAGGCCAAAACUAAUUGAAUCUUAAAUCCUAAUAAAAUCGUAACCUCUAAAUCAAACCCUAAAUAAAUCUUAAACCAAACCCCAAUCAAAUCCUAAUCAAACCCUAAACCAAAUCCUAAAUCUUAAGUCAAAUCCUAAUCCAAACUCUAAACACUAAAUCAAAUCCUAACCAAAUCCUAAAUCCUAAAUAAAAUCCUAAACCAAACCCUAAAUUCUAAACCAAAUCCUAACCAAACCCUAAACCAAAUCCUAUAUUCUAAAUGAAACUAUAAUCCAAACCCUAAACCCUAAACCAAACCUAACCAAACCCUAAAUCAGACCCUAGUAAUUCCUACAACAGAUUUAAACCUCAAUAACUAAUAAAUAAACCAUUGAUCUUAACUCAAAUUUUACACACUUCUAAAAAAAUAAGUUAAUAACAAGUACAAAAAA
rnacentral:lncRNA from 1 species